rnacentral:rRNA from 1 species
UACGGAGGGUGCAAGCGUUAUCCGGAUUCACUGGGUUUAAAGGGUGCGUAGGUGGAUCAAUAAGUCAGUGGUGAAAGCCCCGAGCUCAACUUGGGAAUUGCCAUUGAUACUGUAGAUCUUGAGUGCGGUUGAGGUAGGCGGAAUGUUACAUGUAGCGGUGAAAUGCUUAGAUAUGUAACAGAACACCAAUUGAGAAGGCAGUUUACCAAGCCGAUACUGACACUGAGGCACGAAAGCGUGGGGAUCAAACAGG